rnacentral:tRNA from 1 species
GUAUAAAAAGCGAAAAAUUUGCGUUCGGUUUCGGCCCGUAUUUUGGGGGUGUAAAUCCCUCUUUAUACU